AGGACAGGGGGGCGGUCGCGCCCGGGAGCCGAACCUCCCGGGUGAGGAAAGUCCGGGCACCAUAGGGCAGGGUGCCAGCUAACGGCUGGGCGGGGUAACCCGACGGAAAGUGCCACAGAGAAAAGACCGCCAGCGGCCAGGCCAAGGCCUGGUGCGGGCAAGGGUGAAACGGUGGGGUAAGAGCCCACCGCGCCUCCUGGAAACAGGGGCGGCACGGCAAAUGUCAUCCGUCAUGCUUUCAGGACAGUAUCAGUCACGCUAUUAGGUCAAUGGACUGAGUAUCGUCAUGGUUUUAGGACAGCAAGUUGAGCCGUUAUGCAAGCAAAGGUUGCUUAAGCCACGCUCAUAGGUUGCUUAAGCCACGCUAAUCCUCCACACCUCCAU
rnacentral:RNase_P_RNA from 1 species